rnacentral:rRNA from 1 species
UACGAAGGGGGCUAGCGUUGUUCGGAUUUACUGGGCGUAAAGCGCACGUAGGCGGAUCGUUAAGUCGGGGGUGAAAUCCUGGAGCUCAACUCCAGGACUGCCUUCGAUACUGGCGAUCUAGAGUCCGGAAGAGGUGAGUGGAACUCCUAGUGUAGAGGUGGAAUUCGUAGAUAUUAGGAAGAACACCAGUGGCGAAGGCGGCUCACUGGUCCGGUACUGACGCUGAGGUGCGAAAGCGUGGGGAGCAAACAGG